rnacentral:rRNA from 1 species
UACGUAGGGUGCGAGCGUUGUCCGGAAUUAUUGGGCGUAAAGAGCUCGUAGGCGGUCUGUCGCGUCGAAUGUGAAAACCCGGGGCUCAACCCCGGGCCUGCAUUCGAUACGGGCAGACUAGAGUUCGGUAGGGGAGUCUGGAAUUCCUGGUGUAGCGGUGAAAUGCGCAGAUAUCAGGAGGAACACCGGUGGCGAAGGCGGGACUCUGGGCCGAUACUGACGCUGAGGAGCGAAAGCGUGGGGAGCGAAAGGG